CUCUCCCUCUUAGUUGCCUAGUAGAUGGUGAUUCUGCCUAAGGCCCUCAUGCCUCCCAGGGUCAGCUUGCCUCUCCUUGAGUUAUUAGCACACAGAAACCCAGGCACCAAGGACAAACUCUACAAUAUGAAGCCACUUGCAUCCAGUAUCAUAACUGCAAGAGCAAACUAAGUGCAGAAAUGCAGUGUUUGUUUUUGUGCAUGCAUUGUGCUCAGGACUUAACAAAUCAGAUCUAGGUAAAGGUCUGCCCUUGUAUGUGCAAUCUGUGAUUCCCUUCCUCAUGUCAUGUUCAUGCCAGAAAUACUUAUUCCAGACUCCUCAUGUUUGCGG